rnacentral:lncRNA from 10 species
UGUCCCCACCCAAAUCUCAUUUCAAAUUGUAAUCCCCAAUGUUGGAGGUCAGACCUGGUGGGAGGUGUUUGGAUCAUGGGGGUAAAUUUUCCCUUUGGUGCUGUUCUUGUGAUGGUGAGUGCAUUCUUUUGAGAUCUGGUCAUUUAAAAGUGUGUGGCACUUUCCCCGUCCUCUCUCUCUUCCUCCUACUCCAACCAUGUGAAGUGCUGGCUCUGCCUUCACCUUCUGCCAUG